rnacentral:rRNA from 1 species
GACAGUGGUGGCGAGCGUUGUUCGGAAUCACUGGGCUUAAAGGGCGAGUAGGCGGUAGGGCAAGUCUGAGGUGGAAUCCUAUGGCUCAACCAUAGAACUGCCUUGGAAACUGUUCUACUUGAGUCAGUGAGGGGAGGGCGGAAUUCCAGGUGUAGCGGUGAAAUGCGUAGAUAUCGGGAGGAAGGCCGGUGGCGAAGGCGGCCCUCUGGCGCUGUACUGACGCUGAGGCGAGAAAGCGUGGGGAGCAAACAGG